UACGUAGGGUGCAAGCGUUAAUCGGAAUUACUGGGCGUAAAGCGUGCGCAGGCGGUUCGCUAAGACCGAUGUGAAAUCCCCGGGCUUAACCUGGGAACCGCAUUGGUGACUGGCGGGCUAGAGUAUGGCAGAGGGGGGUAGAAUUCCACGUGUAGCAGUGAAAUGCGUAGAGAUGUGGAGGAAUACCGAUGGCGAAGGCAGCCCCCUGGGCCAAUACUGACGCUCAUGCACGAAAGCGUGGGGAGCAAACAGG
rnacentral:rRNA from 1 species